CUCAAAACAGAACACUAGAGCUGGAAAUGACCUGAGAACACAGAAUGUUUCAGCUUGAAGGGACAGAAGAGAUCAUUUCAUCCAACUCUCUCUCUCCUCUCAAAUUUUACAAAUGAUAAAGAUAUAUGAAAUGGCCAAGGGCAUCCAAACCACCAGAGCUGAGACCAGAAACCACAUUUCCUAAGUUCCAGUCCUGGACAUUUGUUCCCUAUGUUACCAGAUCUAUGCCCACUACUACUAGACCUAUGCCCAAGAAAAGGAAAUAAGAAAUGGAAGGAGAGAGGAAGGAAGAAAAGAAGGGAAAGAAAAUUUUACUGACUUGGAGAAUUCAAUAAAGCAGCUGAGGAAGACUUAAAAUAAUAAUGAUGCCGGAUAUUUCUAGAGCCAAAGACCCAGGAGAGCCUGAAGCACCUUUCCCCCGCAAGAGUAAGCUUAAUUGCCACAACAUGCAUGGCCCAGCAGUGACUGGAAAUCUUUCUCCUCAACACUUCCCAAUUGAAGGGACUUCUGAAGAGAAACCUGAGCAGACUUUACCUCAGCUCCUGUUGCCCAGGGGUGAGUCAACCUGACCUUCUCUCAGGGGGCUCAGGCUGC
rnacentral:lncRNA from 1 species